rnacentral:lncRNA from 1 species
AUUAUCCUUAGGUCGACCAAAUCCUUAGAAUGCUCCUGUUCUUAUCCAGUUGAGGUCUAGAAGCUUACUCAUCACGCCGGAGCAGCAGUAGCAGUCGAGCUCGGCAUCAGCUCCCUUGCUGCUCACUUUGCAGCACCUCGCCAGCUCCCUGGUAACACUCUGCACCUGCCGUCGAACUCUCUCAGAAUGAGCAGUUUGGUCGUCCCCAUCUCGCCGUGGUUCGUCCUCACCAUGUUUUCAGAUGUGUUUGGGCUGAGAUGCCAUUCAAAAUCGAUGAUCUGUUCGUCGCCACCGGCCGCAAGCACCAGUUUUGUUGAACAUACGUGAUUGAAGAUCCUUUGUGGUGAUGAAGGUGAAAUCAGCAUAGCACUCGCCAAGCAUUCUACAGAAGAGCUCCCAAAAUAAAGAGUGAAGAUUUAAGAUGAAGUGGUUGUUGAAGAGGAGUUUACUCCAGUGCCUGUUCAUCAAGUGGAUGGAGCCAUCUAACUGAUCAUCGUGUUAGAAGUAUCUAGAACCUCUUCUCUGCAACAAAGGAGAAGUUUUAUUCCCUUAUUUUUUUGGUUAGUUACUUCAUGUGGAGGCCUUGAAGCUUAGAAUGUUUAUGUAUAUAUCUUAUGGAAAGGCUUCACCCUUCCAACUAUUUUAAUAAGUUAUGCACUUUGGGUACUAUCAGGACUUGUAAUAAAUACAUCUCUUUCUACCUUGUAAAAAAAAAAAAAAAAA